GCUGUCAGAAAGCGACUUUUUCUUGUCUUUCAUCGUAUAUUGAGAAAGAAACCCAGGAAGAACCGGUGAACGCCACUGCUACUGGUGCAAAAACUGCUUAAUUAGAAGAAAAGAUGGCGUGAGUGGUACGGCGGUCGACGUCAUGACAGUGACGUCACUGACACCGCAGUCUCAGCGACUCGUGGAAAUCACACGCGACGGGGGAGGAGGAGAAAAGAAUUAAUAAUACAGUAACCACGCAGCAAAUGCGCUUUCAGCUCUUUGCCUUCACUGUUGCUAAUUCAAGGACAGAUUUGCGGAAUUUUUGAGGACGAAAAUCCCCAGGCAACCGUUAAUUUCCAUCAGCCGCACUGCUGUGAAGGAGCCAUAAAACAAACGACCCACCGCAGGGCGCAGAUCCAGCCCCAGGACAGCACUGCACAAUAAACAUCCUGUAGAACAAUCCCAAACCAGAGCACUGACCAGUAACUGCUGAACAAAGACGCUUCUUCUCCGGCGGGGACUUCCUCAGCCACCCCUGGCAGAUGAUCUCCCCUCCGCUCAUGGC